AUUGAACGCUGGCGGCAUGCCUUACACAUGCAAGUCGAACGGUAACAGGUCUUCGGAUGCUGACGAGUGGCGAACGGGUGAGUAAUACAUCGGAACGUGCCUAGUAGUGGGGGAUAACUACCCGAAAGAGUGGCUAAUACCGCAUGAGAUCUGCGGAUGAAAGCAGGGGAUCGCAAGACCUUGUGCUACUAGAGCGGCCGAUGGCAGAUUAGGUAGUUGGUGGGAUAAAAGCUUACCAAGCCGACGAUCUGUAGCUGGUCUGAGAGGACGAUCAGCCACACUGGGACUGAGACACGGCCCAGACUCCUACGGGAGGCAGCAGUGGGGAAUUUUGGACAAUGGGCGAAAGCCUGAUCCAGCAAUGCCGCGUGCAGGAUGAAGGCCUUCGGGUUGUAAACUGCUUUUGUACGGAACGAAAAGCCCUGGGUUAAUACCCUGGGGUCAUGACGGUACCGUAAGAAUAAGCACCGGCUAACUACGUGCCAGCAGCCGCCGUAA
rnacentral:rRNA from 1 species